AGUAAAAUGAUUAACACAUGACCUUAAGGGUGCGUUUGGUUCGCAUUAUAAAAGAUUACUAGGAAUAAAAGAUAUCUGAGAAUCUUAUUACUAUUCAUCCUAUUACUAAGAAUGUGGAAUUCCUGUGUUUGGUUCACACAAUAAUAUUAAUUAGUCAUGUUAUUUAAUAUUACAAAAAUUAUACAAUUAAUUAAUUUAUUUAUUUAUUUAAUUUUAGAUAAUGUUACCAAAAAUUUCAACAUCUUUUUAGAAAAAAAGGAGAGAGAGUAUAAGUUAGAGAGAGAGAGCAUAAUUAAAAAAAAUAGAAAGAAAAAUAUAGUCGAAAUUAGAGGGAGUGAGAGAGUUGAAAUUUUAGAAAGAGAGAGAGAGAGAGAGAAAACUUAGUUUAGAGAGAGAAAAAAAAGUUGAAUUUUAGAGAGAAAAAUAAGUUUAGAGAGAGAUAUAAGGUUAGAGUGUAAAGAAAAAUAAUAUCAAUUAGCCGGCGGGUAGGAAGAAAGAAAGAGAUUAGACAUAUUAUGAUUACCCCAAUCCAUUAAUAUGAGGAUACCCACCCUCCCUCAAGGGAAUGAGAUUAGUACUUUGGGGUGAAUCUUAUUCCCAAGUGAAUCCAAUAUUACCAACUAGAUUACUUAGUGCGUUUAGCCAAACACCGUCAUAUUUUUUUAUUUCCAUUGAAUUAUUAGGAAUCUUUAAAAGAUAGCGCGAACCAAACGCACCCUAAUUGCUACAUGCAACAAUUAAAGCCCCUUUAUAAAGUUUAGGGGAUCAUGUUUUUUUCACAAAGAAAAAGUUAUGUCACAUCUUGAGUGGCCAAAUCUUUACCAAACAUCCAAACCUUUACCAAAUAUCCCCAAGGUUAGGUUUCUAGAGUUUUCUCAAAAAGGUUUGGCCAUGAUUCCAUGGUGGCUCUCUCUCUCUCUCUCUCUCUCUCUCUCUCUCUCUCUCAUCUUUAUAAAACACAAUGUAAUUCAUAAUCAUUAUAUCCUAUAUUAUUUUAAAAUACAAUUUUUUUUUUUGUAAAUACUUUUUUUCACUUGCGCUUUCAGACUUUUACAAACUUAUAUUUUAUCCUCUUGAAAUUUCAGAAAUAUUUUCAGAAGGAUAUGAUGUUAAUGGAGAGAGCAAAAUAACUGAAUAAUUUUUAUUUUUUCUAUAAGAAAAAUAUUUUUUAAAAUUAUUUCUGUCAUUUUGAAGGAUAUUUUCGAUAUAAAUUAUAAAAAAUAUGUGGAAUAGUGAUGAACCUUGACGGAAAGGGGCUAAAUGCAAUAACUUAAAUGUUGAGGCAAUAAAAUAUAGAUUUUUAAAAGUUAGAAAAAAAAAUAAAAAAUUGGUUUUUAUAAAAGAGUUUUUUAUAAUUUAGCUAUAAAAAAAGCAUUAGAAAUGUGUGGAAGUGACAUGAACUAUGGCUUAUUUUGAUUUUUCUAUCUGACUUGUCGAUUCAUUUGGUUCGAGUUGUUUGCUUACUAUACUU
rnacentral:lncRNA from 1 species